GACGAACGCUGGCGGCGUGCUUAACACAUGCAAGUCGAACGGAAAGGCCCUGCUUUUGUGGGGUGCUCGAGUGGCGAACGGGUGAGUAACACGUGAGUAACCUGCCCUUGACUUUGGGAUAACUUCAGGAAACUGGGGCUAAUACCGGAUAGGAGCUCCUGCUGCAUGGUGGGGGUUGGAAAGUUUCGGCGGUUGGGGAUGGACUCGCGGCUUAUCAGCUUGUUGGUGGGGUAGUGGCUUACCAAGGCUUUGACGGGUAGCCGGCCUAAGAGGGUGACCGGCCACAUUGGGACUGAGAUACGGCCCAGACUCCUACGGGAGGCAGAAGUGGGGAAUAUUGCACAAUGGGCGGAAGCCUGAUGCAGCAACGCCGCGUGCGGGAUGACGGCCUUCGGGUUGUAAACCGCUUUCGCCUGUGACGAAGCGUGAGUGACGGUAAUGGGUAAAGAAGCACCGGCUAACUACGUG
rnacentral:rRNA from 1 species